CACUAUGGGUGCGUUCUGGCCUUGUAUAGUUUCAAAACACGCGGCUACGAAGCAAUGACGAAAGAGAAAAGAUAAAUUGGAAUACCCACGAAAAAAACGUGCAUACCUAAACUCUGUGCCAACUAAAGUGGCGGCUCUUUUUUCUUUCGUCAUUGGACAAAUUGGAACAAGCAAGUCGCUUUGAUAACUGAAGUGCUUGUUGGUUGGUUGGUUGCAAUGACGUUUCUUUCGUUGGUUUGCUGCGUUUGCUGCCAAUAAACAUGGCGACCGGCCGCAAUUUUGUAAUUUUAGGCAAAGACAAAACUAUUGUUGUCCUUUUCUACGAAAGUUAGUUACUAAAGUUUAAUCUUAACUGUUGCAGGAAGAAUGUCCAUAACGUACGAAAUGAUAUCAGAUGAUGGUAAGAAACUGAUUCUGGUUGAGGGUCACACGUUCAUCCCGGCCGAGACUUCGGGCAAUCACUGGGAAUGCAGCAGUCUGAGAUCACUUGCGUGCAAGGCAACAUUGUGUUUAGAUGACCUAGACCGCUUGGUGUACUGCAGCUUGAAGCAUAACCAUCCGCCAGAUGCACACGAGCAGAGAGAAGAAGAUGUUGUAUCUUAUGAAAUAAUUCACACGGUAAGAGGGCAUUCCCUUCUUCGUUACAAAAAUUACACAUACAGCUUGGGCAAAGUUACAUUCCCGGGUAGCUAUAAUUAUUGUACGCAAGCGAAAAAAUACAGGUGUCGAGCAAAAGUUUUCUUCCGAAACAACAAAUUUACAGAUACCCAUCCUCAUAUAAAACAUAACCAUCCUCCACCUAUUUACGUUAAAUCAUCGUCAGGCAUUUAUAAGAAGAUGUAUGAUAUGUCUAUGGAAGAGUGGCGAGAUAUCAAAAGAAAUAACCUAUCAUGAAAUAUCUAGUAUCUCUCUGUGAAAUGCUUAUUAAAUUAGUCAACCUAAAAAGAAAUCCGAAGAGAAUCAUGUUAUUUAGAUCCUUCGCCACUGCUAUGUUCUCUCAAAUUGUCAUAAGCCAUUUUUGGGACACCAUGAUCUGAAUGCAUUCAGGGUUUUAAGUAAAAAACCCUGAAUGCAUCUUCUAUCGUGUUAAAAUAAUUAUUUUCAUACCAUUGUCAAACUCUUGUGAAUUUCAGUUAGGUACAUUAAGUAAAAGAAUACAUCGUGUGGCCUUUUUAAAUGUAGGUAUACUCAUAUUAUAUAUUAUAUUGAUUUGGACAUCAUACUUUUUUUCUUUUUUUCUUUCGAUUUAGUAGUAAAGGACUAACCGUAUCAUGGCGACAUGAAGCUACAAAAAAGCUACCAGCCAGUUUAUUGUUAAAAAAGUAGCUGCUGUUUUAUUAUAAACUUAAAUUAGUACCUAGAUCUCUGUCCUACAAAAUCAAAAUAUAUGGAUUCCAGUAUUGAGGUCCUGUUAUUAAACUUUCACUACAUAUACAGUAAAAUACCACCCUUUCGGUUUAGUAGUAAAGGAUACCAUGAUGCCAUACAAACAAAUCAGGGUCUUAUCGUGUCUAGGAUCAAAUUUAAACAUAUCCUUUUUAUUUACAGAUUACAAAACCAUAUGCAUAAAUAAAAACGGUCGAUCUCUCAUUAUGUACCAAGGAUACACUUUUAGUAAAAUGCGUUUGUUGUCCAAACAUUUGAAUAGAUACUGCUCUAGCCGUCUCAGCCACAGAUGUAGUGCUAAGCUCCGCUUGGACAGACAUGGAACAUUGAUUGGAUUGAUAGGAAGUCACAACCACGACCCACCUAGAUACCAUUUAUCAUCUGAAGGCAUUUACUUAAAACUAUAAUACAGAGGUAAGUACUUAUUUAAGUAACAGUUAUCCAGACGAAAAGUGCGCGAAUAGUGCUUUUGAAAUUUUGCAAUAAUUGAAUGGAAUAAUCGAUUAAGUAUAGAGUUAACUUAACAAAGAUUUUACCAAUACAUUAACUUGUAUUUAAUCUUUUAUCAGAGAGCUAGGCACAAUGGGCUGCUAAGAAACCUGACACUUUCUCAGUAGCAAUGUCGGUCAGGUUUCUGUGCUGUACUUCAUUCGGUAAGGUUUUUUCAUUAAUUUGUUUAAUUCUUGAAGAGUUGUACAAAAGACAAUUAUAGGCAUAGCAUAAAUACCACAAAUUCAAACCUAAAAUACAAAUCCCCUCUUAGAGCUAGGUAUAUUACUCGUUGAUAAUUUAAAAUGUAUUCUAUUUAUUUACAGAUUACCAAACUAUAUGCGUAAACAAAAGAGGCGGGACUCUCAUUAUGUACCAAGGAUACACGUUUAGUAAGAUGAAUUACAAAACCAUAUGCGUGAACAAAAAUGGACGGACUCUCAUUAUGUACCAAGGAUACACGUUUAGCAGGAUGAGUUUGUUGUCCAAAGAUUUGAAUAGAUACUGCUCUAGCCGGCUCAGCCACAAAUGCAGUGCUAAGCUCCGCUUAGACCAGGACGGGGCUUUGAUCGCAGUGGGAGGAGGGCACAACCACGCCCCGCCUAAAUACCACAUAACAUCUGAAGGAAUUUACAUGAAAAUAUAGUUAAUAAAUAGUAUUGUAUCAUGAUUUUUAAAUAUAAAAACGGGUAGGUAGGUAUUUGAAUAAUAAAGUUUUUAUUUAUGAUGAGCAUGAUUUAUUUAGAUGAUACGUAAGUCAUAAAAUUUGAAUUUAACCAGUCAUUGGCUGAUGAUGACGAUGAUGAAUAAUGAAUAGUUACAUAAUAUUUUAGCAGGCAAACCGUCAGCAACUGAGUUUGCGGCGUAUCGAUUUAGUACACUCUUCCAUAUGUUUGAAAUGGAGUGUCCACAGUUUGCAGCGUUACGCGCGCUGACUAUCUCAGUAUCUCGUCGCUAACAGGCUGUCCACUGGGUACACGGCCUAACGUUACAAAAAUUAUAGGUUCCAGCUGUACUCAACUUAGGUAUUCCUGAUUCGAAACAACCAACGUUUCUAGCUGUACAACACGAAUUAGUUACAGUUGGUAAAGUAACGACAAUUAUAGUAAAACAUCACGUUUUACAAAAAUAAUCGUACUGGAAAGGAUAUGUACUAAGGUGUACUGUGGCCGAAGGCAAGCUAAGUACCAAGUAAGCCCUUCCACCAAUGCAGAGAUGUGCAAAUAGGAGACGUGGAGAGAUGUUUUUCAACUCUCGUGAAUCCACAAUAGAUGUACGGAGAAAUGUAGAGUUAACAUCACUAAUUCGUAAGUCAAGGCAUAGCUCAUGACUCAUGACAGCUAACAUCUCCGCUUCCAUAUGCGUCAUAUAAUAUAUCAAACACACACAUAAACAUAUUUCCUUUGUGAAUAACGGUGAAUCAACGGUUGGUAUACGACCUAUAUUUCCGUUGCUUUAUAUUUCCCAUUUUUCAAAUCACAUUCCAGCUAAGCACUUUAAAAGUCUUACUUCACUUCAGAUACUUAAUAAUCAUUUAACUACUUCACGCGCUAACACACCUUAUAAAGCAUGAAACCCCUUUCGCAGCUUACUUGCGGAACCAACAUUACGAGAUCAUCCGGAACCGGAAGGGGAGUGGGCUGAUCCUCUACAAGGGAUACACGUUCUGGAGACGCACGAACCGACGGUGGUACUGCUCGUCGACACGCAAGAACAAGUGCCCGUCCACGCUGUACCUGACGAAUGAGGGACAGAUCGUGUACUCUCUGGAGCACAAUCACCAGCCGCCCCCGCUGCAUAUUGGACCCCAUGGUGAACUUUAUAAAUUGUAGAUUGUUGGUUUAUAUGUAAGUAUGGUUGCGAUUCUGAAGGAACAAUUUUUAAUUUUAUUAGGUAUAGUCAAAACUGGAAAAUGAGAUUAUACAUAGUUAUAAGUAUAUAUUAUAGUUACAAUAUAGGUACUUAAAGGUUAUCUAAAUAGGAAGGGUACUUAUUCGAAAUAGGUAAGGUAAAAUUUAAUAUGCUGCCAAUCAUAAAGCUGAAGUUAAAGUUGAAGUUGCCAAUCGUUGAAGUUCGACCAUAGAUUAAAGUUCCUCUUUGCAACUCAGUUUCAUAAUCGCUAUCAAAUCUAGAUGUGAAUCAUAUAGUUAUGACCUUGAUUGACAUUGGAUGUGUAGUGUAGGUGUGGGUCCCGUUUUCUUAAAGUAACGCUUUAUAGUAAAAUAUGAUUCCAGAAAUUAUGCAGUACUUAAGUAGGUACCUGGACAGGUAGGUACAUACCUAUCUGUCUAUGAUAAAUGUGAUAUUUGUAAAAAGUAAUAUAAAAUAAGAAAUAGCAUAUUUUACCGUUUUUGAUUUUUUGUCAAAUAAUGAAGCUUACUACCAUGGUCAUGGUGGGAACCUACACCUAUAUAUUUUUUAACAAAAAAAUAUAGGUCUGUAUAGGACGUGUUCUAGUUAUUUUUCAUGGAUGGAUAGGCAUCAUAGUUAGUAGUAAGAAGUUAUUUUACUCAUUUCUUGCUGAUCAAAUAAAGUCAAGGGCCUUAACGAACUAAUCUCAAAGAUUUUAAGUAGGUAAGGCGCUUGGUACUCUAUAUGUAUACUCGUAAAGUUAACAAGAUUAAUUAGGUUGAAUACUUAAAUACUUACCAAAGUGGAAAAAUACAUUGCUAUUCCUGGAGCCUAUAUAGGUAUCUUACCUACUUUAAAAUUCCUAAAACUAAAGAAAGGCUAAAGUUUGAGUCGCCCUAUUUCGGCUUAACACCUUAGUAUACUUACAACCUUUUUACUACUCUACAAUACAAAAAUAUAUCAAACUAGUUAUUAUGUCCUUAAAUAACUUAAUUAACUACCUAUUUACCAAAAGAAAAAUUUUGGUAGAUAGGAAGUAGGAAUCUUCUUGUAGUUUAAUGCAUUUAGGAAUACAAUAACGAUUUAUUAAAAGUAGAUCGGCCGUUUCAAUUUCCACUCUCACUCAGUUUUUCUUUACUGUUUGAAAAUGUAUACUUAUUCUGAGAAAAUUGGGACGCAAUCUCAAAGUCGCAUUUCAUUUUAUAAUCUGUGGUACGCUUACCGCUCAGCUGUCAGCCUGACAGGAGCGAUAUGAAAAUGACAAGUUGACAUGACAACACAAAAUAAGGAAACAACCUAAAAAUUUAAAUCAGAUCAAAAUAUUGUGAAAGUAUUUUAAAUUAGGUACUUGAUUCUCUAUCGAUAAACUUAUAAGAAUCAACUGUGUACGCGCCUAAGAAACAGUGCUAAGUUUUCAACAUAUUUUUAGGAUAAAAGUAAAGUAAGACUUACCUACCUAACCUAUAAGUUGGUGAUUAGAUUAUGAAAGUCCGCUGUUAUUAAUAAAAUAUUUAUAUUUACUUUAUUUUCCAAUGCCUAUAAGGUAGCAGUUCUUACUAAGUGUUUACAUAUAUGUUGUAGUGGAUUAUUAAGUACUUAGGACAGUACCUACAUGAAGUUUGAAUGUUUCAAAAUUAUAAACAUUAUCUACAGAUUGCAUUUGAAUUAUUUUCUAAGAAUACAGUGGCACCCAUCAAAAGGGACUUCAAUGAAAAAUUGCAGAAAGUUAUGAGUCGAAGAAAAAGUAAUAGUGCAUUUUACCUGGACUCUGAUCGUUAUGCAGACUUCAUCAAAGAUGUCACAGAUACAAAGUUAAAAAUUAAUAAAGAUUUUUAUGACUAUAAAAUGCUCACAAAUUAUGAUGUUUUAGUGGUUAAUGGCAGAUCGAGACUUAUUAGGCCUAAAGAUGAAACAUGUCCUUCUGUAAAGUUCUACAUACCAACGGAUGAACUGUUUGGGGUGUUGCACACUAUGCAUUUGUUACUGGGGCACCCCGGUGUAGAUAGUAUGGAUUUGGAAUUGAAAACUAAAUAUUGUAAUAUUUCCAAAGAAGCAAUCCGAUUAUAUAUUAGCCUUUGUAAAACAUGUAAUAGUAAAUCUCAAUGAUAUCCUCUCAUUCAGUAUAUUAUGGUUACAGUUGGAAUAUAUCAGCUUCCUCAUAAAAGUUACAAAUAUAUAUACUUAGGUAAUUCAGAAAAAUUUUUACAUAACUAGUAAUUAGUGUAUUUUUGUAUAUCUCCACCUGGUAAUGAAGUAGGUAUGUUAAAUUGCUUUACAAAAACAGUUUAUUUGUUAAAUAAAAGACUUGUAUACCACUA